AAGACUACUCAGGAUGGGGGAUGACCAUGCCAGGAAAACCAACCAUGUGAUUAGAGAGCUGGGGCUUUGAGCCAUGUGGUAUCAACUCAACCUCUGGGAAGAGGAAGAGAACAAGAGAUUAAGAACCAUGGGCAAUCAUUCAAUUGAUCACGAGAGCAAAGCAUCCUGACUCCAGGAAGAGAGGGCGAAAGAAGCGUCACCUUCAGCAUCCUUCUAGAUCUCGCCCUAACCAUACAUCCAGAAAAUUCUUAAAACUAAUCUCUAGCUCAGCAUCCCUGAGUGAAGUGACCUAAAGACUAUAUAGUUUCAACACUCCAAGCCCAUCUCUCCUGCUAUGCAGAUGUAACACAUCACAACUACAAAUUCAAAUCCAGGUGUUUUGGGUGUACAUAAACUUCUCCCAACCUUUUCAAAAUGGGUUAAAUACAUCAAAAACUACAGCAAUGCUGCCUUUCAUUCCAGUGCCAAGUAGCAUUCUUAUAUCAAAACCAAUUUAAUAAA
rnacentral:lncRNA from 1 species